rnacentral:rRNA from 1 species
AUUGAACGCUGGCGGCAGGCCUAACACAUGCAAGUCGAGCGGAGCGGCGGACGGGUGCGUAAUACUUAGGAAUCUGCCUGGGAGUGGGGGAUAACGUUCGGAAACGGACGCUAAUACCGCAUACUAUCAGAUUAGCCUAGGUCGGAUUAGCUAGGUGGUGAGGUAAUGGCUCACCAAGGCUACGACCCGUAACUGGUCUGAGAGGAUGAUCAGCCACACUGGAACUGGUACACGGUCCAGACUCGUGCGGGAGGCAGCAGUGGGGAAUAUAGGACAAUGGGCGAAAGCCUGAUGCAGCCAUGCCGCGUGUGUGAAGAAGGUCUUCGGUUGGUAAAGCACUUGUAGCUGGGAGGCGUUACCGACAGAAUAAGCACCGGCUAACUCGGUGCCAGCCGCCGCGGUAAUAC